rnacentral:rRNA from 1 species
CCUCGGAAACCGGGAUUAAUACCGCNUAAAAAUCGUAGAAACAACAAUGGUUUCAACGGUCAAAGAUUUAUCGGUCAUAGAUGGGCUCGCGUCUGAUUAGCUAGUUGGUGAGAUAACAGCCCACCAAGGCGACGAUCAGUAGCCGGUCUGAGAGGAUGAACGGCCACAUUGGAACUGAGACACGGUCCAAACUCCUACGGGAGGCAGCAGGU